rnacentral:rRNA from 1 species
UGGGGAAUUUUGGACAAUGGGGGAAACCCUGAUCCGGCCAUCCCGCGUGUGCGAUGAAGGCCUUCGGGUUGUAAAGCACUUUUGGCAGGAAAGAAACGUCGCGGGUUAAUACCCCCGCGGAACUGACGGUACCUGCAGAAUAAGCACCGGCUAACUACGUGCCAGCAGCCGCGGUAAUACGUAGGGUGCAAGCGUUAAUCGGAAUUACUGGGCGUAAAGCGUGCGCAGGCGGUUCGGAAAGAAAGAUGUGAAAUCCCAGAGCUUAACUUUGGAACUGCAUUUUUAACUACCGGGCUAGAGUGUGUCAGAGGGAGGUGGAAUUCCGCGUGUAGCAGUGAAAUGCGUAGAUAUGCGGAGGAACACCGAUGGCGAAGGCAGCCUCCUGGGAUAACACUGACGCUCAUGCACGAAAGCGUGGGGAGCAAACAGGAUUAGAUACCCUGGUAGUCCACGCCUACUAA